rnacentral:lncRNA from 1 species
UUUUGGGGUCCCUGAGGGGAUUUUGGGGCUCUUUGACUGAAUUUUGGGGUCCCUGAGGGAAUUUUGGGGUCCCUGAGGAAAUUUUGGGGUCCCUGAGGGAAUUUUGGGGUCUCUGAGGGAAUUUUGGGGUCCCGGGGAAAAUUUUGGGGUCCCUGAGGGGAAUUUUGGGGUCCCUGAGGAAAUUUUGGGGUCCCUGAGGGGAUUUUUGGGGUCCCGGAGGAAAUUUUGGGGUCCCUGAAGGAAAUUUUGGGGUCCCUGAGGAGAUUUUGGGGAUUUUUUGAAGCCCCGCCCCCAUUUUUAAGCCCCUCCCCCAUUUUUGAAGCCCCUCCCCAUUUCUUUAAGCCCCGCCCCCAUUUUUGAAGCCCCUCCCCCAUUUUUUAAAGCCCCCCCAUUUUCGAAGCCCCGCCCCCAUUUUUUGGAGCCCCUCCCCCAUUUUUUAAGCCCCUCCCCCAUUUUUUGAAGCCCCUCCCCCAUUUUUUGGCCCCUCCCCCAUUUUUUGGGACCCCCCAUGGACCCCCCGGAGCCCCAAAUUCCCCGGAAACGGCCCCAAAAAAACCCGCGGCACACCCAGGUCAGGAACCGGCGCUACAUGGCCAUGAGGGAGCUGAUCCGAGAGGGCGAUUACUUCAGCGAGGAGCGGAUGCGGCUCCGCGCCCCGGGGCUGUUCCAGCGCUACAUCGGCCGUUUCCGGGACGGAAUUCCCAAAAAUCCGCCGGGAAUUCCCAAAAUUUCCCCCGGAAUUCCCAAAAAUCCCCCCGGAAUUCCCAAAAAUCCCCCCGGAAUUCCCAAAUCCGGGCCGGAAAUGCCCCGAAAUGCCCCGAAAUUGCCCCAAAACGCGGGGCCCGCGCGGGAGCUGCGGGAGCUGCUGCUGAGCGCGCUGGAGGAGAGCGCGGGUCGGGUUUUGGGGCAGUUUGGGGAAUUUUGGGGAUUUUGGGGGGAGUUUGGGGUGGUUUGGGAUGAUUUUGUGGGGAUUUUGGGAGGUUUGGGGGGAUU